UCAAAAAGCCAGUGGAAUUGCCGCACAGCAUCUGCAGUGCCUUGAAACCAAUUUUUACCUGCCUGACCGGGAGUUUGAGUGGCAGCUAAUACCUGACUUACCAAAUGCUGCGGAAUGGUGUACUCACAGCUGGCUUGGCACGGCGCUUUGUGAGUGGGAACAAACGGGUGCCUGCUCCUCCUCCGAGAAUAAUGGCGACAACAGUCCUCGCAUCCCUCUUCUCCACCUCCAGGUCCCUCAACUGUAUAAGCAUCAAUUGUGGCAUCAAAAUCAGGUUUCAUCUUGCAUUGAAACCAAGAAUCUCACCUUGGCCUCACCUGCCAAGUCAGCUGUGAGUGAAUUGCAGACAUGGCUUCUAAUACCAUUGCCAUUCUUCCUCUGCUGAACUGGAGUAAACUUGAGCUUCUGCCCCAUGAACUCUCCACUGCUGAACUUCACUAGCCUCCCGCUUUGAGUGUAAGAUCUCGUGGGGCGGUGCAGCUGCCCUGUGGCAGACAGGGCGACGCGGCCGUCGGCAGUGACUGCCAUUUUAAUAGGCUAGUUUCUGCAGUUUUUCAUGUAUAUAUGAAGAAAGAAUAGAGUCUUCUGUGAGUGUGUGUGAUUUGGGUACAUGGAUUGCAUGCCAUUGAUGCAGUGAGCCACGCUAUCCAUAUUCAACUGCGUCCACCAAUUUUUCUUUUGUAUUCAUGUGAAUCAUGCCAAAUCAAAUUGCAAGUUUUCUUUAAUUUA